AGCGGCAAGGUCUGGAGUGAAGUUUUCAAAGUAAUCUUGACUCCAGACCUUGUUGCUGA
rnacentral:pre_miRNA from 1 species